rnacentral:tRNA from 1 species
AAUGAAAUAGUUCAGUAGGUUAGAACGUUGGAAUCAUAAUCCAAAUGUCGUGAGUUCGAAUCUCUCUUUCAUUA